rnacentral:rRNA from 1 species
GAUGAACGCUGGCGGCGUGCCUAAUACAUGCAAGUCGAGCGAACAGACGAGGAGCUUGCUCCUCUGACGUUAGCGGCGGACGGGUGAGUAACACGUGGAUAACCUACCUAUAAGACUGGGAUAACUUUGGGAAACCGGAGCUAAUACCGGAUAAUAUAUUGAACCGCAUGGUUCAAUAGUGAAAUACGGUUUUGCUGUUACUUAUAGAUGGAUCCGCGCCUCCGUAGCUAGUUGGAGUGUAACAGCUUACCAAGGCACGGAUCUGUAGCAGACCUGAAAGGGGAGUGGGCCACCUGGGAAGUGAGAACCGGUCCAGCUUCCUACGGGAGGCGGAAGUAGGGAACCGUCCGAAAGGGGCGAAAGCCUGACGGAGCAACGCCGCGUGAGUGAUGAAGGUCUUCGGAUCGUAAAACUCUGUUAUUAGGGAAGAACAAAUGUGUAAGUAACUAUGCACGCCUUGACGGUACCUAAUCAGAAAGCCACGGCUAACUACGUG